GACGAACGCUGGCGGCGUGCUUAACACAUGCAAGUCGAACGCUGAAGCCCUUCGGGGUGGAUGAGUGGCGAACGGGUGAGUAACACGUGGGUAAUCUGCCCUGCACUCUGGGAUAAGCCUUGGAAACGGGGUCUAAUACCGGAUAGGACACAUCGCCGCAUGGUGUGUGUGUGGAAAGUUCCGGCGGUGCAGGUUGAGCCCGCGGCCUAUCAGCUUGUUGGUGGGGUGAUGGCCUACCAAGGCGACGACGGGUAGCCGGCCUGAGAGGGUGACCGGCCACACGGGGACUGAGACACGGCCCAGACUCCUACGGGUGGCAGCAGUGGGGAAUCUUGCGCAAUGGGCGAAAGCCUGACGCAGCAACGCCGCGUGGGGGAUGACGGCCUUCGGGUUGUAAACCUCUUUCGACCGGGACGAAGGAUUCGUUUGACGGUACCGGUAGAAGAAGCACCGGCUAACUACGUGCCAGCCGCCGCAGUAA
rnacentral:rRNA from 1 species